rnacentral:piRNA from 1 species
UCCNGAAUGGCCUAGGAAUGGGAAUCCUACU